AUUAGGGUGCCUGAAUUAAAAAGGGCCAUUUUGAUAUAAUGGAUCAUGUGUGCACCACCCCUAAUC
rnacentral:tRNA from 1 species